CCGAGUUUACAACUCCCAAACCCAAUGUGAACGUUACCAAACUGUUGCCUCGGCGGGGUCACGCCCCGGGUGCGUCGCAGCCCCGGAACCAGGCGCCCGCCGGAGGAACCAACCAAACUCUUUCUGUAGUCCCCUCGCGGACGUAUUUCUUACAGCUCUGAGCAAAAAUUCAAAAUGAAUCAAAACUUUCAACAACGGAUCUCUUGGUUCUGGCAUCGAUGAAGAACGCAGCGAAAUGCGAUAAGUAAUGUGAAUUGCAGAAUUCAGUGAAUCAUCGAAUCUUUGAACGCACAUUGCGCCCGCCAGUAUUCUGGCGGGCAUGCCUGUCCGAGCGUCAUUUCAACCCUCGAACCCCUCCGGGGGAUCGGCGUUGGGGAUCGGGACCCCUCACACGGGUGCCGGCCCCGAAAUACAGUGGCGGUCUCGCCGCAGCCUCUCCUGCGCAGUAGUUUGCACAACUCGCACCGGGAGCGCGGCGCGUCCACGUCCGUAAAACACCCAACUUUCUGAAAUGUUGACCUCGGAUCAGGUAGGAAUACCCGCUGAACUUAAGCAUAUCAAAAGCCCGGAGGAA
rnacentral:rRNA from 1 species